rnacentral:lncRNA from 1 species
GAUGGGUCUUGGGGGAGACCAAGGGUGCCCUGCUCAAUGUCAGCCCUGACUCUGUGCCACGUGCACUCAGCUCUGCCACGGAGGUGCAUGGCUCUGUAGACGUGGACGGUGAGCUGGGGAGGAAGGUGGUCUUGGAGAGAAAUGCCCCAUGGGGAGCUGAGACCUGUGUGUCAUGGGAUCAUCCUGGAUUUGGCUUAAAAUCCACGUGGCUGUGGAAAUCCCAGGGUGCACCGAGGAUCUGUGGGGGAGCAGGGGUCUCUUAAAUUACCACGGUGCCAGCUACAUGGCCCGGGUGGGUGGUUCCCCACACUGCCUACCCCUUCAUACCUCGCCCCAUUACACCCUCCUGGAAUCAUUCUCACUGGAGGCUGCACCGUUUCCUGCUGCCCACGAUGAACAAAGCAGGAAACUGUCUUUUCCAGACUUCCCCACGAAGUGAGGUUUUGACGACCUCAUUCUCCAAGAGCAAACCCAGCCCCUGGAGUCCGUUCUUUCCCUGCGCGCGUGGACACCCCUGCAGCAGUGGCUCCUUUUGGUGGCCGCUCUUCAGACACGUGCUAGAGAGCAAUCAUUGAUGACAACGUUUUCUUUCAAAAGGCCCAGAAAACAAAAUUAAAUCUUGGGACUCGAAGCUUCCUGGGCCUGUGCCACGAAGGCCCAUGCUUAGCCGGUCUGGUGCCAGGCUCUGUGACGUGUGGAAACCAGGCCCACCGACCACACAGCAGUGGCUGAGGAUGGCUCCCUCCUCGGCUACUCUCUGAAAUGGUAGAGGCCACUCUCAUGGCUGAGUGGUCUCCGCCGUUCUGCAGAGGUGUGGAUAAGAACAGGAGUUCCUGCUUGUCUCCUAGGGGUCCGUAUUGAACGUUGGCAAUCAGUGGAAAUCCUGUCUCAGGCCCUCUCGGGGCCCCACACUGAUCAUUGUAUUUAAAUCCUCCCAGUGUCCUGCAGACACCUACCUCCCAGACCAAAGAGGGACCUUGCUGGUGGCCAGGAAACAAGCUGAAGCACAGAGAGGAGAGAAAGAGACAGAGUUGGGUCCUCGGGUCACCUUAAAAGGCUGUGAGACUUUUUGCCAGGGCAGGGCCUGGCGGGUGGUGGAGAUGCAGGAUGAAGGACUUAAGGAGGGAUCUUUUACUUUCAGUGUGAAAGUGACCUGUGUUUUUAUGAGGGGGCUAGAGAAAUACUCAGAAUCUGAGAGCAGGCAGUUGGAGUGGGAUCUCAGCAAACUUCCGUGUCUGCAUGGUCCUGCAACCAUCGCCCUGGACAGAGGUCUCAGCUGGGUAGAGAUGGACGGUUGUCAGGGCACAGCCUGUCCUUAGGGGGUGCUAGGAAUGGGGAUUGGGGUGAAGAGGAGUUCAGGAAAGAGGGGUGAGGCAUGGGGAACCUGCUGGCUUAGAGGAUGCAAAGGGGCAGGUUUUAUGGACGCUUUAUGCAGGUCCCUUUCAUAAAGAUACUUGCCCAGCCUGAGCAGAAACCCACACCCUAGAGUUUGUUUCUUCCCUGUGGGCACCCCCCGCCCCCGCAGCAGCGGCUUCUUUCAGUGGCAGAGGCUGACUCUUUUUGCAGCUUCUCCAGCACUUGCAAAUGCAACUUCCUUGCACCCACUUCAGACACUUUACAGCUGGAACCCCUUCCUUCAAGGUUAGGGGCCCAGGCCCACAGCCCCUACCUCCAAGUUUCCACGUUUGAAGAAUCCCAACCUUUUCCCUUUGCCUCCUCAGCCUCAGGGGUGACACCUCAGAGCUCCUGUUUACCUCUUUAGCCACCAGGUUAGUAAUUUUACACCCAUGCAAGUGUGUACAGGAAUCUUCCGGAUCCAAGUGGCUGGUGUGGGCGUUGUCUUCUGUCUGAACCCUGGCCCUUGUCUGUGCAGAUUCCUCCCCUCCUGUCCGGGAGAGAAGAGACAGUUUCGAUGUCAUGUGGAGACAGGAGGCUGUGGUCAACGAGGGGAGGCUGUGGUCAACGAGGGGAGGCUGUGGUGGGGGGUGGCGUUCUGAGUCACUUGGCUGGCUUGGGAAUGUGAGCUGGGCCAGGUGCACCUUAGAGAGCCUGGGUGGUGCUGGGGACCUUCAGGCUCUGGAGUCCUGGGUGACCCUGACAGGUGCAUGUACCCACAUCUCCUUGGCCCCUGUCUCUGUUGCUAAUGUCCCUGCACAGACCCCCCCCAGCCGUCAUUUACAGAUUCCCAGCAGUGAAGCACACGGGCUUAGGUUAAAAUCACUGAGCCCCUUGCACAGCGGCCUUCUGGUCCCCUCUGCUGUAAGGCAGGACCACCUGUCAGCCCCUGUCUUCUGGGGACCCCACUAGGCCUAAGAGAUGAGGCUGUGGGGUUCUGUCUUCUGGAGGCCCCACUAGGCCUAAGAGAUGAGGCCGGCGGCGGAGGUCUGGCCUGGAAGAGAAAUGUGGUGAGUCACCCCAGGCCUGACAGAUUCACUCAGACCUGGUCCUUCUGCUCCUAGGCUGAGCCAUCUCUCAGGGACCCUCCUGCCCUCCUUCACCUCUCACCUGGCCUGCCCCAACCAGUUCUCCAGGCAAGCCCAAACCAGUUCCACCUGGUUUGUGACUGUGUUUGGAAAGAGGGUCUUUGCCGAGGUAAUUAAGUUAAAAUGAGGUCAUGUGAGUGGGCCCUGAGCCAGUCUGAUGGGUGUCCUUACAGGAAGACAUUAGGACUCCCAGAGGGUGACUCCAGGGGCAGGUGGCUUGGAGGACUGGCCGUGCAAGGAGGCAGCAAAGGGGCGGCCAUCUGCAAGCUGAGGGCAGAGGCCUUGGAGGAAGCAGCCCUGCCAGUGCUGGUAACUGGGCUGGAGAGACUUCUUCAUGAAGGAAUACAGGGACAGUCACAGGAGACAGGAGCACCAAGGGAUUCGGACAUGUGGCUGACACAGUCUUCUGGAGAGCCCCGGAUGGCAUCAGGGGGAAACCUGGCCUGAGACAGUGCCCUGAUGGACAAGGACAGGAAUACGGUCAUACCUCCUGCCCACUUGACCAACGACCAGGAUGAGAAGCCAACAGAUGAUGAAUAUGAAUUAAAGUUGGACAACUAGCAAGUUUAAAACUUGGACUGGGACCUAGAUCUUCCGAUUCCUACAGCUAGCCUCCCUUUCCAUCUUCUCUGUGGUCAUCACUAAUGCAGUUUUUGACCGUCUUGUCCAGAAGCUGCAAAACAGACAACAGAAGCCAGGACUGGCCCUGCCUUAGAUGGCUUUCAGUGCAGGAAAGUAUCAAGACAGUCUUGUUCGUAGCGUAUAUCUCUCUCCACCUUUUCUGCUAAGCACCUCAUGUAUGCAGCUGCCAAUGUAACACCUCCAUUUGCGUGUUUAAUCACCAUCUCAAGCUAAUGUAACCAAGCAGACUUCUUGGCCUUCAUCCCUGCCUCCUCUAGUCUUCUCAUCUCUCUCUCUCUCUCUCUCUUUUUGAGACAGAAUUUGGCUCUGUUGCCCAGGCUGGAGUGCAGUGGCACCAUCUUGGCUCACUGCAACCUCUGCCUCCUGGGCUCAAGCCAUCCUCCCAACUCAGCCUCCUGAGUAGCUGGGUCUUCCCAUCUCUUUAAAAAACAAUUCAAUUGUUCAGAACAAAACCCUGGAGUCAUAUUUAAUUCCUCCCUUCCUCUUGCACUUCUAAACCAAUCAUUCAUCUCUACUUUGAAAAUGUUUCUUUAUUCAUCCAGUGCACCAAGCCACCAUCACCUCGAGGCAGGAAUAUUCAACGGCCUCAUAAGUGGUCUCCCUAUUUGUGUUAUAUUCAAUGCAUGUCUUUUCUUACUCAAAAUCCUAUAAAGGCUUCUCUUCACCAUCCACGACUGUUUCCUGCCUUCCUCACUAUGAUCCCAUCACUGACCCCUCAAGACUAUGUUCCAGCCUACUUUCUGCUCCUUGACCAACACCCUUACUCUGAUUCCCACUUUUGUGACUUCACAUGAGUCCCCUGUCUGCCUGGACACUCUGCCCCCAACCUUGAAGUGCUCACCCUUCCCUGUCACUCAGUUGAAAGUCAAAUUCCAUUUCCUCAUGAGGGCUUCCCUGAAUACCCACUUUUAAUUAACUCUCUGCCUCCUCCCAUCACUUCUGUUUUACCCCCUCUUUUAGUUCCUUCCUAUCUUAGUUUCAUAAGAGCCAGGGCCGUUUCCGACUUCUUUCCCCGUCAAGCCUCCUUAGAUAGGACAGGUCCUCUGCCUCACCGACUUUAAUCAGUAUUUGCUAAGUAAACAGAGCACAGGAGGAUCCUGUUGUCAUCAAAGAGCAGCUCUGCCUCCAAUGGCGAAAGGAUUGUUGGAACCUCAUCCUUCCUUCAAGUUCUGGUUCAAAAAAUUCCAUGCUAUGCCUCACAUGGCCUUGCCCAGGUGCCUGUUUGAUUUGCCUGGGUUGUCUGUUCUUUCUUCCCCACUGUCCUCAUUUGCCAUGUGGCUCGGUGGUGGCUGGAGACCUCCAUGCUGGCCCCUGGGAGCAGCUGCUAAGGCUCGGCGCCUCAGGACACCUUGGCACCUGUGGAUAUCGACCACCAGGCUUCUCUUCUGUUCAUGUCUCUGCAAGAAUGAGAACCUGCCCCCAUACCAUUUGUGCUGUGUAGGCCUCAGGAGGCAUGGACUCACGCAUCCAGCUUCCUGCAAGCCCUCUGGUACAUCGCAGUGUUCACCCCCAGCUUUCUAUUACAGCCACCACCCAGGGACUCUGGUGCAGGCUCCUUAGAGAGAGGCCAGGAAACUGCCGAGGUGAUAAGUGACAGCAGGUCUCAGGGGAAGAGAGGACUUCUCUCCUUAGUAAAGAACCUGUCGAGGUCGGAAAGACACUCCAGGCUCAAAGCCAAAUUUGAAAGUUAGGCUGACAGCCCAACUAGGGCAGAUUGGAGGAGCCAGGUGGAGAGAGGAUGUGGGGGAGUCAGGAAAGAGGUGGAAGGAGAAGCCUGGAAGAGUGGCUCCGCUCCUGGAGUAUGGCCAGCGGCACUUCGUCAGGACCUCGACCUUCACCCACUAGUGGGAGGGUGUUCCUCGCAUGACUUGUAGGAUCACCUGGGAAACACACAAAUGGAAGAAUUUAAAAAUAUCUGCUAGGACACCCCGUGUCCCCCACAACUCAUCACAGAGCAAACCCAUCACAGAGCAAACUCCUUGGCUACUUCUUGUCUUGGGCCGUCUUUUCAUCUGGCCUGUUUGCCUGACUGGACUUUGGGGUCUUUGUUCCCAGCAUCAAAAUUUCCUACCAGCGACUUUCCAUCACAGCUCCCUUCCAGUCUUCUGGAAAUUGUCAGAUGUGCCUGGAUUUGCAGGGCCUGCACAAGAUAUGCUGUCGAUCUGGGAUUUUUGGGGAUUUUUGCAGUUCACACUCCAAUGUGCAACAGCAACCAAACGGAGAUGGAGGACGUGAACAUGAACUACUGGAGAUGCUGAUGAAACGUGUGUAAGGACCGCAAUGGUAUCUGUGUCCUGCUCGUGAAAUUGACCAGAUACAGCGGCUUCCUUUUGCUUCCGAAGGCCCGGAUUGACCUGACAAUUGAUAUGCUUUGCUCUAUACUCCAACUCCCAUUGACCAUGGGGUGAAAGCACCCUUUCUCGGUCAGCCUCACUGCUUCCCCGCAGAUGGAGGGAUUUUCUGCAGGAGCAUGGGCCCUGGGCCUUCCUUUCCCACUGUCUCUUGAAAGCCUCCUCCAGAUGUGCUGCCUGGCUCAGCUCUUUGGGUGACUUUUGUUCUGUCUCAUGUGACCCAUCAAGAUUCACACAGGGCUGUGUCCCGGGCAGGGCUGGAGUCGACAUUCAGGGAGGAGAUCACUGUUCUGGAACAGAGCAGUGAUUGGUUUAAUUGAAAUCUGAUAGAUCAUCAUGUAAAAAGCUGGCAUGUAAGCAUGCUCCCGGAGCCUGCAGGGCCCUGCGCGGCCUCUUGCCUGGCCAUCACGUAGAGGCGGUCCUCUUGCAUGGUUGGGGGCCUCACCUGCACCACGGGCCCCCAAGCCAAACAGUGAGAUUGUACGGAGACCAUCCUGGUCAGGUCUUGCAGUUUGCACCAGGUAGCCCCAGGCUAUCCUGCCGUGCAAGAGCUGCCUUCUCAGCACAGUGGAGUUCUACGGCUGCCUCGGCUGCAGAGGUCAGCUCUGGAGCCUUGCUGAGCACCUCCAUGGAUGCAUUUUGCAAAGGGCCGAGUAAGAGGCAUUAACGUGGCCUGUGCUUAGUUCCUGACAGCAAGCGGGAUUAAACCCGGAUUAAAGGAUCAGCCCUAAACCAAAGCAGACCAGUAAUAGGUCUCAUGAUAAAAGCAGCCAAAUAAUAAUAGUAAAAAUCUAUUCUUGGACUUAUUACUUUCCUGGGAAAAGGGCUAUUUCUUGUGAAAUAUGCAGCGAUUGGAACUUUCCCCGACAGCCCACCGUGAGCUCACUCACUGCCCCUGCCUGUGCUGGGGGGUGGUGGGUGGUGAGAGGUGCAAGUGAAGGGUCUGGACAGAGGCAGAGGGAGGAGAGGGGGCAGGGGGAUGGGGAGGAAGAAUGGGGGGUUCGCUCUGGGAUAGCUUCAUGAUCCACUGAACCUUUCAAACUUGAUGCUUGACGUUUUGAAAAAAAUGACAGAAAAUAUGGGCUGGGCACUGUGGCUCACGCCUGUAAUCCUAGCACUUUGGGAGGCUGAGGUGGGCAGAUCACCUGAGGUCAGGAGUUCAAGACCAGCCUGGCCAACAUGGUUAAACCCCGUCUCUACUAAAAAUAAGCCAGGUGUGGUGGCACAUGCCUGUAAUCCCAGCUGCUUGGGAGGCUGAGGCAGAAAAAUUGUUUGAAUCUAGGAGACAGAGAUUGCAGUCAGCCGAGAUGCUGCCUCUAAACUCCAGGCUGGGUGACCAAGUGGGGCUCUGUCUCGAAAAAAAAAAAAAAAGUGUACUAGGGGGAUGUCGUUGAGGGGCUUAGCCACAUGCUACAGAUCUUUUUAUACCAAGAUGCAUUCAAUGAUUAGCUAAGUUGGACAGUUUGUUACUUUAAGCCUCCACAACCAAAGGGGCAAGAUAAUUAUCUCCCAGAGAACAAGUUGAUCUUCUUUGAAGGAUAAGGAGUUCCCCAAGCAGCAGGAAGAGCUUCUGUUCCCAAUUCCAGCCUUUGAAGUUUAAGCUUCAGAAGAAAACCUUAGCAUUUAAUACAGGAAGGCAUGCACGUGUGUGUGCAUGUGUUUGUACCCACACAUGUGGCUCAAGCUUCCCUGUGACAAUGGGUUGCCUGCGGGUAAGCGUGGGAUGUGUGGAGAAGGCAGGAGGGUUUAGGGCGUGGGCUCAGUACCCUGAUGAGAGAUUUAAAGCAGGCAAAGGGAUUCGGCAAAGUGCAGCUCCCAUUUCAUCAUUUCUUCAGACCCUGCCUUAGUUAUUUACUGCUGUGGUUUUAAACUCUGCUCUUCGAAACCCUUGGUUUCUGCAGAAGUCCUUCGAGAGGUUCGUGGGGGCAAAGGAAGGUGAGGGGCAGGAGCCCAGGCCACCCGGCCUCCUUCCUUUCCCCACGUCUGCUUUCAACUGUUUCAUAUGCAUCAUGCAAAUCGCAGCUGUCAUGGCUCAGGUCCUCAUGUGUACAAUGGGCGCCAUGGCAGCGUCCAGGUCAGAGGGUGACCAGAGUGACAUGAAUUAAGACACGAGAGGACUCCAAAGAGUGGUCAGGCCUCUCACGUCAUAAGAUCUCCAUAAAUGGUCACUAUUAUUUUGUGUUAUUAGGGGUACGCUUUUCAUUUGUAAGAUGACUUCCAUGGGGCCCCACGCCUCAUGACCCCGUCUCACCCCCUGCAAAUACCAUCCCAUGGAGAGGCAGGACUUGAGCCUAUGAAUUUGAGGGGUACACGGUUCAGUCCAAACCUUUUGGUGUUUCUGUGUAUCCAUUUCUGCAUGUGUAAAAUGAGGAGAACAGACAGCUUCCGACCUCAUCUCCAAAGGCGCACGGAGGAGGUGGAAAGGCCCUCGCCGGAGACUGAGCACUGCAGCCAGCGCAAGGCCGGAUUUGCUGCUUCCGCGCGGGGACGCCCUCGGAAAGGUGGCAGGUGCCCACGGCGAGGAAGGGGCGGGAGUGAGGGGUGCGUGGCCCGAGAGAACUCAGUGAAGAAGGCCAUUAGGGAGGAAAUAAGGGAAACGGGGUGUGCGAAGCUCUGAGCUUUUUCUGCCCGGUUUGGCUGAGGACACGCCACGGGUGAGCAUCUGCGCGAGGGGAGCUUGGUGGGUGAGGAAGGAAGAAGACACGAUAGAGAACUGGAAGCAAGAAGGGAGGAAACCAAAAGGAACGGGGAGGAGAAAGGGCUUCUCUGGAGCUGCUUGCUUUUCCCAGAUUCUCCUGCCAUUCCUGGCUCCAGGGAGUCCUGAAGGAACGAUGGUUAGGGCGGAGAAUCCUGCAGAGGAAAGGAGAGAAAGGACUAGAGGUCACACACGGCUUCUUGGAGGGGAGCGGGGAGCAGGGGCUCCGAGGCUGCGGGUCGCAGGCUCCAGGGCAGGAAGCUCUCCAUGGGAACCGUAGUAUGAAUUCCACCGAGGUGCGUCCCGGCACAGACCCGAAGGCAGCCACAUUUGUGGAAAUAAGAUUUGACGUGCAUUUCGGAUCCGCAGAGAAGGUGGACUCUGUUUUGCAGAAUGGACCAGCGGUGGGGGGUGGGGUGGGGGGCAGGAAAAGACUUUAAACGCUGGCAGAACUUUGUAUUCCACUCAUUCGUGCAUGCAUUCAUUCAGCCAUCCUUUCGCUAUCAUUCAUCAAACUAGCGCGCACUGAGGCCACUUUGUGUCAGCGCAGCGCCUGGCCUGAGGACCUCAGGGUGGUGUCGGCAAAGUUCCGCUGCCAAGGAGUUCACGGGCCGUGUUUCCUGCCAGGCCGCAGACACUCUCUGCGUGGAGCCCGAGGAGGUUCUGUGUGAGAUCUCACCCUGCGGGAAGAAAGAGGCGGAGGCUCGGGGUUGGUCCAAUCACACCCCUGAUGGUGAGAGACGGGCGGGCGGGGCCUGACGCCCACUCCCAGCUGGAUGCCUGUCUCCCACCCCGCGUGUCCUUUCCCAGACCCCAAAGCUUCCUGCCUGGUCUCAGUUCUUCGGAGAAGAGGGAUUAGAAGCUGGAACAGGUAUUUCUGCUAAUGGGGCGUGGCAGAUCGGCAUUUGCGGGGGCUCUGUCACCCCGUAAGAUGUCCCAGCAGGAAGCGUGGCGGGUCUCCACUGAGAGCUCCACGGAGCAGCUUUGGCUCCCUGAGAAGUCGAGGUGUGAGCAGUAGCGGCCUUCCCUUUGCAGAGAGAAGGCUUGGGGAGAGAAGACCCUGGUGCCAUCUUCAUAGGAGGUGGAAAGGAAACUGUAUGACAGGAGAAUGAAUCAGGUUUGGGGCUCAAGGUGCCGGCCACUGGGAAAAACAGCUGCCCCGAGUUGCAAAACUCUGGGUCCUAUAUGUAUAAACUAUGCCCUGAGGAAGGAAUCUCAGGCGUAUCUUAGGAGAAAAUGUUCUAGCUUGGGAAACAAACACAACAGGACCGUGAAUCCAAAUAUUUCAAGUGGGUUUAGAGGACUGGAGUUCUAAACGCUGCUUUUACUGUAAGUGAUCACGCCCCGGAAUGUGCUGAAGAAAGGAAAAUGAGCCAGUAUCGGCGAGGACUAUGGGCAAGGAAAACGAGAGUGUGCGAUGUGUCAAAGCAAGACAUCUGUGUAUAGUAAUAUAAUCAAGUAAUAGAUAGUCAUAGAAUCAAGCUGAUGUAUUUGGCAGGGGCCGCGGGAGGAUGAGGCAACUCCCAUCAGAUUAGAAAGAUGUUAACACUGUAACAAAAGUGGGGCUCGAGGAAGGGGAAAAGCGCAGCUCUCUUUUUAAGACGCCAGAAAGUAGUCAGACAUGCUAAGAACAAAACAAACACAAACGAAAACCAGCAAAGAAAGCUCUUCGAGAAGAGUAAGGCUACUGAUCUUUAGGAAUCAAAUCAUUAUUUCCACACAUGUCAUGAAGAACACAGACAUUAAAGCACAAAGGAGAAACUUAAAUGAAAGUAGGAGGGAGAAGUCAAAGCUCAAGUAAAGAGAUUUUUAACCUAGAGAGGCUGAGUUAUCAAGGAAGAAAGAAGGCCAAGCCAGCUUGUUGCAGAAUGUUCCAGAAGAUAAGAUAAUGAUAGACUUAAAUAAAUAGGGACUGAUCAAGGUGAUAGCGAGUUCUUGGUGAAAUUGCUUCCAAGGAUUUUAUAGAAGUGUAUUUCAUGGAAAUGUACAGUAACCGGAUGACUGUAUUAAAAUUUUAAAACUGCUGGGUGUGGUGGCUCAUGCAUAUAAUUCCAACACUUUGGGAGGCCAAGGCGGGUGGAUCACAUGAGGCCAGGAGUUCGAGACCAGCCUGACCAACAUGGUAAAACCCUGUCUCUAUUAAAAAUACAAAAAUUAGCAGGGUGUGGUGGUGUGUGCCUGUAAUCCCAGCUACCUGGGAGGCUGAGGCAGGAGAAUCACCUGAACCUGAGAGGUUGCAGUGAGCCAAGAUUGCGCCACUGCACUCCAGUCUGACUCCGUCUCAAAUAAAACAAAAUAAAAUAAAAAUCUAAAACUGACUUAGGCAGUUAAGUGUGUUUCCAAAGAACGUAAUUGGUGGGAGGCAGAGCGGGCCCGAAUUGCCACCUCUUCCCGGCACGGCCAGUGCUCUUCCUCCCACUCCCGGCCACCUCCGCAGGCCCCUGCCCGUGCCAGGACUGGGUGAAGCUGUGAAUGUGCUUCUCCACUUGGGGGUGCGGGACAAUGCUGGGGCCCUGGGCUGGGUUUCUGCCCUAGGAAGCCUCACUGUUGAGUCAGGGGCUGCUGGAGCUGAGUUUUGUCUUCAGUGGCUUAUGAAGGAAAGAUGAAGCUA